rnacentral:rRNA from 1 species
GGCGGACGGGUGAGGAAUACAUCGGAAUCUACUCUGUCGUGGGGGAUAACGUAGGGAAACUUACGCUAAUACCGCAUACGACCUACGGGUGAAAGCAGGGACCUUCGGGCCUUGCGCUAUCAGAUGAGCCUAGGUCGGAUUAGCUAGUUGGUGAGGUAAUGGCUCACCAAGGCGACGAUCCGUAACUGGUCUGAGAGGAUGAUCAGUCACACUGGAACUGAGACACGGUCCAGACUCCUACGGGAGGCAGCAGAA